rnacentral:tRNA from 1 species
GCCCGGAUGGUUUAGUGGUAUAAUUCUCGCUUAGGGUACACCUGAGCAAUUUGCGAGAGGUCCCCGGUUCGAUCCCGGGUUCGGGCC